CCAAAACGUACUUAUUCCCCGGUCGUUCUAUCGAUCUCGCCGUUAAAUAAACGCCAUUUUCGGUUUGAACAUCACAACAGGCGGUUGUCUCCUACGGAGUGACCUGUGCUUCUAGUCUACAGGCAGAUGUUGGGGGUGAAAGGCUUUGGGACUGGGAGGUUCCGCGUACCGGGGAAACCUAUUGCUGGCCAAGUCUCCUAGCUUUCAACCCCAACAUCUGCUUGGAGAUAUCUGUACCACCACCUUGGCCUUGUGAGACUUCCAUCGAUCUGCUCAGAUCGCGAGGGCUUUGGGCCGUCCGGAUCACAUGGACGCCUCGCCGCAGAUCCCACACGAGGAGGGCAAAAAGGAGGCCGGGAAACUGCUUGGGCAAGCAGAGGCCGCGGCUUAUCUCGGCGACAAUUUUCAUCCAAGAAUGCUGGCCAUGGAUGAAAACAAAUCGCUCGAAGGCUUCCAAGCGUCUGCCUAACCACCUGGCAGCGCUCAGUCUACCAACAAGCGCAAGGUUCACUCCAGCCCGGCCAAGGAGAGGAGGCUGCGCUGGGCGGCCAUGAAGAUCGAGGGCUGCAUUGUUGGCAACCGCCCACGACUUAAUUGUCUCGAAGUGUGUUUGUAGAGAAUAUCCUGGAAACAGA